rnacentral:rRNA from 1 species
GAUGAACGCUAGCGGCAAGCUUAAUACAUGCAAGUCGAGGGGCAGCAUGACUGUAGCAAUACAGUUGAUGGCGACCGGCAAACGGGUGCGGAACACGUACAGAACCUUCCUUCGAGCGGGGAAUAGCCCAGAGAAAUUUGGAUUAAUACCCCAUAGUAUUACGGAGUGGCAUCACUUUGUAAUUAAAGAUUUAUCACUUGAAGAUGGCUGUGCGGCUGAUUAGAUAGUUGGUGAGGUAACGGCUCACUAAGUCUGCGAUCAGUAACUGGUGUGAGAGCACGACCAGUCACACGGGCACUGAGACACGGGCCCGACUCCUACGGGAGGCAGCAGUAAGGAAUAUUGGUCAAUGGACGAAAGUCUGAACCAGCUAUGCCGCGUGGAGGAUGAAGGCCCUCUGGGUUGUAAACUUCUUUUAUAUGGGACGAAAAAGGGCCUUUCUAGGCCAACUGACGGUACCAUGUGAAUAAGCACCGGCUAACUCCGUGCCAGCCGCCGCGGUAAUAC